rnacentral:miRNA from 1 species
CAAGCUAGGCCUGGAUAGAAGC